UCCGGUUUUUCACCGGCAGUCCCUCUAGAGUGCUCACCAUAACGUGUUAGCAACUACGAGUAAGGGUUGCGCUCGUUGCGGGACUUAACCCAACACCUCACGGCACGAGCUGACGACAGCCAUGCAGCACCUCUACUGGUGUCUCUUGCGAGAAGACGAUAUUUCUACCGUUGGUCACCAGCGGUUCAAGCCCAGGUAAGGUUCUUCGCGUUGCGUCGAAUUGAACCACAUGUUCCACCGCUUGUGCGGGCCCCCGUCAAUUCCUUUGAGUUUCAGUCUUGCGACCGUACUCCCCAGGCGCAGGACUUAACGCGUUAGCUCCGGGACGACCCGCCUACGCGAGCCACCCCAAGUCCUGAUGGUUUAGGGCUAGGACUAC
rnacentral:misc_RNA from 1 species